rnacentral:tRNA from 1 species
GCGGACAUAGCUCAGUUGGGAGAGCGUCAGACUGAAGUGAGCUAAGGUUCUGUCAAACUUCAAUCCCCUAAUCUGAAGGUCGUGUGUUCAAUCCACACUGGCCGCA